UGGGGAAUAUUGCACAAUGGGGGGAACCCUGAUGCAGCGACGCCGCGUGAGCGAAGAAGUAUUUCGGUAUGUAAAGCUCUAUCAGCAGGGAAGAAAAUGACGGUACCUGACUAAGAAGCCCCGGCUAACUACGUGCCAGCAGCCGCGGUAAUACGUAGGGGGCAAGCGUUAUCCGGAUUUACUGGGUGUAAAGGGCGUGUAGGCGGAGGAGCAAGUCAGAUGUGAAAUCCAUGGGCUUAACCCAUGAACUGCAUUUGAAACUGUUUCCCUUGAGUAUCGGAGAGGCAAGCGGAAUUCCUAGUGUAGCGGUGAAAUGCGUAGAUAUUAGGAGGAACACCAGUGGCGAAGGCGGCUUGCUGGACGACAACUGACGCUGAGGCGCGAAAGCGUGGGGAGCAAACAGGAUUAGAUACCCUGGUAGU
rnacentral:rRNA from 1 species